UACCACCCUUGUAUGUUUGAUGUUCUAACUUAGACCCAUUAUCUGGGUUGAGGACAGUGCCUGGUGGGUAGUUUGACUGGGGCGGUCUCCUCCCAAAGAGUAACGGAGGAGCACGAAGGUGGGCUAAUCACGGUUGGACAUCGUGAGGUUAGUGCAAUGGCAUAAGCCCGCUUAACUGCGAGAAUGACGGUUCGAGCAGGUGCGAAAGCAGGUCAUAGUGAUCCGGUGGUUCUGUAUGGAAGGGCCAUCGCUCAACGGAUAAAAGGUACUCCGGGGAUAACAGGCUGAUACCGCCCAAGAGUUCAUAUCGACGGCGGUGUUUGGCACCUCGAUGUCGGCUCAUCACAUCCUGGGGCUGAAGUCGGUCCCAAGGGUAUGGCUGUUCGCCAUUUAAAGUGGUACGCGAGCUGGGUUUAGAACGUCGUGAGACAGUUCGGUCCCUAUCUGCCGUGGGCGUUGGAAGAUUGAAGGGGGCUGCUCCUAGUACGAGAGGACCGGAGUGGACGAACCUCUGGUGUUCGGGUUGUGUCGCCAGACGCAUUGCCCGGUAGCUAAGUUCGGAAUUGAUAAGCGCUGAAAGCAUCUAAGCGCGAAGCGAGCCCUGAGAUGAGUCUUCCCUGAUACUUUAAGUAUCCUAAAGGGUUGUUCGAGACUAGAACGUUGAUAGGCAGGGUGUGUAAGCGUUGUGAGGCGUUGAGCUAACCUGUACUAAUUGCCCGUGAGGCUUAACCAUACAACACCCAAGG
rnacentral:rRNA from 1 species